CAUUAAAUCAGUUAUGGUUCCUU
rnacentral:piRNA from 2 species